AAUCCGGUUGAUCCUGCCGGAGGCUACCGCUAUUGGAGUUCGAUUAAGCCAUGCGAGUCCAGAGCUUUCGGAGCUCGGCGUACCGCUCAGUAACACGUGGGUAACCUAACCUAUGCAGGGGAAUAACCUCGGGAAACUGAGUAUAAUGCCCCAUAGUCCACUACGCCUGGAACGGUGAGUGGAUCAAAGCUCAGGCGGCAUAGGAUGGGCCUGCGGCGUAUCAGGUCGUAGGGGGUGUAAAGUACCCUCUAGCCAUCUACGCGUACGGGUGUUGGGAGACAUAGCCCGGAGAUGGAUUCUGAGACACGAAUCCAGACCCUACGGGGUGCAGCAGGCGCGAAAACUUGACAAUGCGAG
rnacentral:ncRNA from 1 species